rnacentral:rRNA from 1 species
CACGUAGGGGGCGAGCGUUGUCCGGAUUCAUUGGGCGUAAAGCGCGCGCAGGCGGCUAGGUAGGUCCGUUGUGAAAACUCGAGGCUCAACCUCGAGACGUCGAUGGAAACCAUCUAGCUAGAGUCCGGAAGAGGAGAGUGGAAUUCCUGGUGUAGCGGUGAAAUGCGCAGAUAUCAGGAAGAACACCCGUGGCGAAGGCGGCUCUCUGGUACGUGACUGACGCUGAGACGCGAAAGCGUGGGGAGCGAACAGG